AGUGAACGCUGGCGGCAGGCCUAACACAUGCAAGUCGAACGGCAGCACAGCAGUAGCAAUACUGUGGGUGGCGAGUGGCGGACGGGUGAGGAAUACAUCGGAAUCUGCCUUAUCGUGGGGGAUAACGUAGGGAAACUUACGCUAAUACCGCAUACGACCUACGGGUGAAAGCGGAGGACCUUCGGGCUUCGCGCGAUAAGAUGAGCCGAUGUCGGAUUAGCUAGUUGGCGGGGUAAAGGCCCACCAAGGCGACGAUCCGUAGCUGGUCUGAGAGGAUGAUCAGCCACACUGGAACUGAGACACGGUCCAGACUCCUACGGGAGGCAGCAGUGGGGAAUAUUGGACAAUGGGCGCAAGCCUGAUCCAGCCAUGCCGCGUGGGUGAAGAAGGCCUUCGGGUUGUAAAGCCCUUUUGUCCGGAAAGAAAAGCAUCGGGCUAAUACCUCGGUGUUCUGACGGUACCGGAAGAAUAAGCACCGGCUAACUUCGUGCCAGCCGCCGCGGUAACAC
rnacentral:rRNA from 1 species